ACGAACGCUGGCGGCGUGCCUAAUCCAUGCAAGUAGCACGCUGAAGGAGGAGCUUGCUUCUCUGGAUGAGUUGCGAACGGGUGAGUAACGCGUAGGUAACCUGCCUGGUAGCGGGGGAUAACUAUUGGAAACGAUAGCUAAUACCGCAUAAGAUUGACUAUUGCAUGAUAGUCAGUUAAAAGGUGCAAUUGCAUCACUACCAGAUGGACCUGCGUUGUAUUAGCUAGUUGGUGGGGUAACGGCUCACCAAGGCGACGAUACAUAGCCGACCUGAGAGGGUGAUCGGCCACACUGGGACUGAGACACGGCCCAGACUCCUACGGGAGGCAGCAGUAGGGAAUCUUCGGCAAUGGACGGAAGUCUGACCGAGCAACGCCGCGUGAGUGAAGAAGGUUUUCGGAUCGUAAAGCUCUGUUGUAAGAGAAGAACGAGUGUGAGAGUGGAAAGUUCACACUGUGACGGUAUCUUACCAGAAAGGGACGGCUAACUACGUG
rnacentral:rRNA from 1 species